rnacentral:rRNA from 1 species
GUCCAUGCCGUAAACGGUGGGCGCUAGGUGUGGGGUUCCUUCCACGGGCUCCGCGCCGUAGCUAACGCAUUAAGCGCCCCGCCUGGGGAGUACGGCCGCAAGGCUAAAACUCAAAGAAAUUGACGGGGGCCCGCACAAGCGGCGGAGCAUGUGGAUUAAUUCGAUGCAACGCGAAGAACCUUACCUGGGCUUGACAUAUAGAGGAUCGCUACAGAGAUGUGGUUUCCCUUGUGGCUUCUAUACAGGUGGUGCAUGGUUGUCGU